CUCAAUUCAGGGUCUGCAUCCUACGUCGGCCGGAUUCGUCGGCCGGUUACGUCACAGCGCCGCGACUAGGCCUGUCCCAAUUCGAAGACUCCUUCAAAUGCGGUCGACGAAUGCGGCCAUCUUUUCGCCUGAAUGAAGGAUGGGUCGGGUGUAUUCUUCAACAGGUAGCAUUUCCCAAGAUGCCUUGCGGGCCGGCCAGCAGAAAACCUUAAAAACAAUGGCGGACAGUGAAGCGGGAGCUGUCGGAGAGGAUUGCGCAUAUAAAUGAACAAAAGAGAAAACCAGGGAAUUUAUUAAGCUUAGGACGGAGAUGGACCACAUGAUCACCGGAGCAAAGUAUUUGGCGGCUGUGGCAUGGAGACUAUUCUGGAGAAAAUGGGCAUCCAGGGGAAGGUGCCAGCGAUGACCAGCUUCUGGAUCUGAUCAGGGAGGACAUGAGGCUGCAGAGGGGGGCAGAGCA